rnacentral:tRNA from 1 species
AAGACACUAGUAUAAAGAUUAUUACACUGCCUUGUCAAGGCAAAAGUGCGGGUUGAAGUCCCACGUGUCUUA